GCUGUUGAUGCCGCCGACGCUGCUGUUGCUGCUGUUGCUGCUGCUGCUGCUGCUGCUGCUGCUGCUGCUGCACCUGAUGCACCGUAAUCACCAUUCGUCAUGUCGCGCGCGUCACCACCGGCCGACUUGGUACGGGUCCGCGGUCAUCGCAGCAUCGAGCGUGAUGUCGUAACGGCGCACACACAGUACGUAUAUGUCAAUGUCUGUUUUCGCAAUGUCUUCGACUCGGGGCCGCGCGUAUUGGAUACGGGGGAUUCCGCCGCGUUUCCGUCCGCUGGCCGUGUGGUGUGAUUAACCGCGGCGACGGUCUCCGGAAACGGAAGAAAAAAAAAAAAACGUACGGCGGUCGGACGAUUUCCGUGCGUGUGUUGUCGACGAUGUCCGCGGGGUCGUGCGAUUAGGUAGUGUCCAUCGUGGUCGCACGUCCCGAACGGGGUGAAUGUAUUUUCGGGCGGUUUGCGAAAAACGAACGGGCGAACGGGAAAAACGAUACGAAAAUCAAACGCGCCGGCAACAACGGUAAAGGCGGCGUUGUUAUUAUUUUUCUCGUUUUUUUUUUCCCACGUUUUUUUUAAAUUUUUUUUUUUUUUUGACAAACACGCAAAAGUCGCGCCCGGGGAAACGAAGGUGGAUGGGGGUGCGGGGGUGGGGCGAAUAAAAAAAAAAAAAACCGAAAACCGAACGGAUAUAGAAUAAAAAAAAAAAAAAAAAAAACGGAAAAUAGACGGAAAAAAAAAAAAGGCGGAAAACCGGACGCGGUCGCAACAAUAUUUAUUGCGGUUAUUUAUUUCGAUCGGCGGCGUAUCUGACCGGCACGACACGCGCACACGGAACGCACACACUUCACUCGGGCGCGCGUAACGACGACAAAAUGAUACGAGUCGCGGCGGGGCACGUCGCAUAUAUACGCGCGCGCGCACGUGGGGUAAGUCGGCCGAGCACCGGUGCACUCUUACGCCCCGAUUACGAAUAGCACACUGCGAGAGGUCGCGCGCCGCCGCCGCCGCGGCCGCCGUCGCCGCGGUCGCCGCCGCCCGUUCAUUGGUCAGUGCCAUCUGACGGACGACCGCCGGGACGUUAAACGCGUUAUUAUUAUUAUUAUUAUUAUUAUUAUUAUUCCGCGUUGACAAUAACGCGCCUAAUGUCCGUUUUCGCAUCGACGAGACACAAUCGUAACAUUGCAAUAUUUACAAAACGAUAACUCGAUAUUAUUAUUAUUAUCGUUAUUAUUAUUAUUAUUAUUAUUAUUAUUAGCUGCGGCGGCGGCGGUAGUAGUAGUAUUAAUAUACGCUACGCUGCGUGUAGUAUAAUCGGCGCGUAUUAUUACGUAAAAAAAAAAAAACAAUAACAGUAACGGUACGGUAUCGUAAACGCUAACGGGUCUUGUUUGCCGAGCGCGCGAAGGGCUCCCCGAAGGGCUCCACGGAAGGCGUUGUGCGGGCCGUCCCAUUUCCGUGCCGGGAAAUCAACUGGACGGGGCGCCCGCUUGCGAACGCGAAUCGUCGCGCGCAUCCGCCGAGCGGGCGACCCGACCGACUGCCCGCCCCUACCGGCCCGAGCGGUUCGUGAACCGGGAAAACGCGCGCGAACCGACGGCCUGCGCGGGAAGUGCCGGGGCACCGAAAUUUCCCGGCGCGGUCGCGUCGAGUCGGUUCUUCGCGAUCUAUUUGUCUGCGUUCGGCCGCCGCAACGCCGCCCCCCGAUCAACACGCAAAACGGACCGGACCUGUCAAGAUCCCCCUCCGAGGGUUCGUCGACGACUCGCGUCCGCCCGUUGACGGUCCGGUCUGUCACGAUUUCGAAUUCAAUCGUCUGUUCCGAGUGCGGCGGAAAACCGCAAUCAACGUUUUCGCGCGGGUCUCAAACCCGUCCGCGACCGUCAGAAUAACACGCCGAAAAGCCGCGGACGCGCACAAAUAUUGGGGCCCGUUGCGGUUUGCCGGCCGUUUGCGCCGAAGACGCCGGGAACACCGGCACCUCGGUGUCUCCGGACCCCCGGACGUUUGGAACAAUCAACGUGCCGUCGGCCGCGAGCGGACGGCACGAACACGUUUCCGCGAACGGCGCCCGGGAAUCGACGCUUUGAUGACGCGCCGUGUCCGCUGCCCGCCGUCGCCGUGACGUCGCGCGCCGCUGAAAAAUCAAAAGGCCGUACGAACAGCGACGGCGAUACGACGGGAACAGUGACGGCGCAACGCCGUGCCCGCCGAACGGGUAAACCGCACGUCCGUAAGACGGGGACGACGCGCGCGGUCGAAAACGUUUUCGCGAAUGAAAGAACGGUAACGGUCUCGUACGAGAAAACGAGAGAACCGGACGUUUUCCCCGCGCGUUUUCGCCCGCCGCUCUUGAGCGUAAACGAUACACGCGGUGACGUUUUUAAAGGUCCAGGCCUCGGCCGACGUCUCCGCGCGGACGCGUUACGUUCGGUUUUCAAUACAUCGGGCGCGGUACGAACGGCGGGUCGGUUUGCGGCACCGCGCCUUUCGUUCGGACCGGGAACGCGCGCGCGGGCAUUUAAAAAAAAAAAAAACACGCGGUCUCGCGUUCAAUUCAACCGUAGCAAUCCGGCGGUGGAUGUCGUUUUUUCUUCGAAUUCCCCCCGGGGAACCGGGAUACCGGAACAGACCCGCGUAGUACUUUGGCGACGCUUUUAGCGGUUCCGCCGGGCCCGAGCGAGCUCAAACGCGGGGGAGGAAUUCGAGUGGUCUCGGCAGGUUACAGCGCUAACGCGUUUCGGUCGGGUUUCGAAUUAGAAAUCGGUUUUCGAGACGCCGCGGUUUUCGGCUUUGCACGCGCCGCCGCGGAACGCAAUGCCCGCACCGAAUUCUACCGAGCCGAGGGAACCGUGCGGUUUCGUACGCGCCGAGCGUGCGCCGCCUUUCCGGGGUCUUAAUUGCCGAUUCCCGAACGGUCGAGUUUCGUAAUAGUUUUACAGUCGAAUUGACAUUUUAGGAUUCAAAUAUCUCCGCGCGUUCGGGUUUAGGACUGUGCGCACGUAUAAAACAUAUAGCGUAACGCAUAACUGUUUCCGUUCCGAUCCGUGUACGAUUGCCGGAGUCUACUAAUUGGAUGUUUCGGGCAACCUGAAAAAUUACGAUCGUACCCCGACGAUUGACGCCCCGAUUGUCCGGGCCGUGAUAGAGAAUUGACGGGAGCGGUGGACGUGAUCACGGUCGAAACGGGGACGCGAACGAUACAAAAGAACCCCCGAAAACUAUAAAUGGUAACGGUUCCGACGAAACUCCGGCAAUCGUAACCGUUUAAGGGGAAUUAUAAUAAUAGAAAAAAAAUAAUAAUAAUAAAAAAAUCGAAACACUGCGGACGCGAUCGGACGAUAAAAUAAAUACAACAACAUAAUCGUUAUUAUCGCGUCUACGCACCGUCAACAUAACAUCACAAGUACCUAUAUCGAUUGUAACUGUCGUAUAUACGUACGCAUAUUGUCGUGAUGUUACGUAGACGGAAAAAAACAAAAAAAAAAAAAAAAAAAAAAAAAAUUAAAAAAAGGAAAAAAAUAUUAUUCGUACGACAAUCGCCGCGGCGAGCGUACCGCUGUUCAAGUGGCGCCCGGUAGUGUAACAGCGUUCCGGCCGUGCGACGUUCGUCGCGGCGUCGUGAACGUCGUUUCGCGCCGCGGCCGGCCAUUCGAACGGUUCGCGUUCGUAUAUUAUUACGGUGCCGAACGGCACUGUCGACCGUAUCCGGGACCCGGAUCGCUGCGCGGCCCGGAUUCGAAUUCGAUCCGUACGGUCCGGAUCCCCGGGGGCCGAUCGACGAAUUGAACGCGGAACCGGCCAGCGCGGCCGCGCGGCAGCGAGCCGUUGUCGACACGCGUGUUUCGGAUUUCGGCGUUUGAAAAUAAACGAUCUAUUUCAGAUAUCCGUGAUCCGGAGGAUUACGUUUAUCGAUCCGGAUCCGGAUUGUAACGUUUGUUGGACGGUCCCGGGAUUCGGGUGCCGGCACUGUAGUUUAUAACAGUUUGUGUGUUACAAUGAUAUAACGGAGGGGCGGGGGCGGUUUGUUCGGUCCGCCGAAAAGAAAAAAAAGCGUCGACAAUUAUCCGUAACGUGCGGCUACUACCGCCAGUGCCCGUUUCGAUACCGGGCCGACUCGUAAUCUCCAAGUUAUCAUCGGAUCGUCAACGAUACAAUUGUUUUUUGAGAAAAAAAAAAACAACCAAAACAAUGCGUUCCCCGAUGUUAGAAAUUGUUUUCUGUCGUUUAAUGCAUAAAAUGUCGGUCGAAUUCGAUGAUAUCCGGCGAGGGGAAUCAUUUGAGCCGGAAAAAAAUGUUGAAACGUUUUAGCUGUUGGCCAAACAUAUUGCACAGCUCUGGUAAAACGAAGGCGUGUUCGCGUUUUACAUUCGUUAUCCUUGGUUCGGGAAAGCGGCAAACUCAAUGAGGUUUAAUUCAACUGCGACAAAUCGCAAGUGUUGUGUUGUUGUUCGCAGCAACGUCGGCGUCAAAAUCAAAGGGGUUCCGAACGUUGCAGUGCGUCGGCAUUUGACGAUUUCGCGUAUAGCUUUUUCAACGACGACCCCGACGGAAAACUUCAUCGUAAACAACAAGGCGAUUGCCGCGUUGAAAAGCCCGCGUGUUGCCGUCGAAAAUAACAAGAGCCGAAUUAUCCGUGAUUUUCGGUAAACGAACACGCGCGUCGAAUGCGUUUCCGCCGGGGUCCGUGCGUCGUUCAGGCCCCCGGCGAUUCGUCAGCGCCGAUUACAAACGCCCGACGCCGAAAACGAUAAUUCGCCCCGCGCGGCGUUCGCGCGACCGGCCGUGGGGCCGCAGCGAGCCGAACACCGCGGACCGCGAAAACGGCCCGGAGCGACCGGUAACCGCGCGGCGGGAGACGUCUGGCCGUUGCGCUAAAAGUCCAAUUUGUCCGGUGACCGAACGGCGCGUCACGCGAAAUAACUCGCGUAGGCUCAUUUACGGCGAUGGGCGCGAACAAUUUUUGCGGCGACAGCGACCGGACAGCACCGCAGACGUCUUUUGCCGUUGUUCUUCCGUCCCCCCCCCGCCAUCGUCCCGGCGCCGUUUGCGAUCGAUCACCGCCCGGUCUCCGUCGCAAACUCCUACUCGACCCCCGGUCACCCGCGCCGUCAUCGUCCGUCCCGCGUGGCCGCGUCACCGCCGUCGCGCGUUCGUCCCUUUCGUCCGGCGAUCUCACGAGCACGCCGCCCCGUCCGUGCGGCGGUCGGUAUUUUUUUUUUUUUCCACGAGAACGAACGACAGAGCAACGAUAACGAACCCGUCGGCUCGUCGCACCGAUUACGGCACGCCCGUCGGUAUGUUCCACGGCGCUUCCGGAACGGACGUAGUGUCGCGCGCGCGCCAACGCCAAAAUCACGGUUCGAGUCGGGGCAUAAAAAACGGCAGCGUCGGCAGACACCGUACAGGGGGGAGCGGGAGUUAAGUUUCUUCGAACGGACGUAGUAAUCGCGUUUUGUUGUUUUUCUUUUCGGGGGGGGGGGGUGGUGGUGGUGUGGUUUCGAGACGCGUUCCGUUAGAAACGACGGCCGUGGCCGGGUGGGUAUGUAACGCGCCCGCAACAUACGCGGUACCUGCCGGCGACAUGACGACGACGACGACUACAACAACAACAACAACAACAACAACAGUAAUAACAACAAUAACACGGCGACGGCGAUGUUGACGCGUACUCGCGUAACUCGUACACCGAGCGCGAACGAAUUGUCGGAGUUAAACGGAUACAAAACGAUCGUUACAAUAGCGAACGACACGGGCGGCGGCGCGGCACAGGAAACAUAAUUUCGGUAUACCGUCCGGUCGCGAAUCGAAAACUGCAAAUUGUCUUAGGAAAAACGGCGGCGGCGGCGGCGGCGGCGCACAAUAUAAUACGACCGUGUUGCAUUGUGCGGUAUAAUAUCGUUACGCGGUUACGAUUCGAGUCCCCGGAUGUUUAUGACCUAGAAAACGCCGCGAAACGAAUGAAAAAAAAAAAUAAAAAAAAAAAAUAGAUAUUAUUUAAAACAAUAAUAAUAAUUGUGUUCUCCGUAACGCGCGAAAUAACUUUCAAUGAAAUUUGAAUUUAAAAAAAAAAUAAUAAUAAUAAUAAAAAAAAAAAUCAGAUAAGAAUCGACGAAAAGAUGCGGAAUGCGUAAUAAUAAUAAUAACGCGAAAACGAUAAUGUACACCACAGCGUAUAAUAAUAUAAUAUUAUCGAACGUCGCGCGCCGCCCGAUAGAAUAGUCCAAAUUGAUUUUACCGAAAAUCGUUAUUGUUGUUAUUGUUGCCGCGGUUUUUUUUUUUUUCCGUUGUUUCGCUGUUUAAGCUUUUUUUUUUUUAUUGUUUUUUUUUUUAUUUUCUUUUUCCGACGGGCCCCGCCGAAACGAAAACGGCAUAACAAUAACGUCCCAACCGAUAUUCGCGCGUUCGUACUCCGGUCCGAAUCGCCGUCAACACGAACCGAAAAUAUUUCACAACGUUCGCGCGUCUUCCACGCGAAAAUCCUCUCGUGUUGCAUUUUCGCAUUUGGAAUACGUAACGGGGUACGAAUCGAACGGCGCGGCCCGUCGGACGCGCUACGUUUGAAACACGCAACGGCCCGACGGCCGUUGAUUCGAGCGACGGAACGGGAAUCCCAUCCGGAACGUGUUCACGGAUUUCCCGAUGGAAACCGUUUCGGCCGAACCGUAGAGUUUGCCGGAAAAUUAUCAAUUGUUUAAUAAAACAAACGCGAUAAUAAUUACCAUGCUUAAACAACGGUGUUUUUAGGCGCAACCGCAGAACACGUCCUCGGCGGUAUCUGGUUAUUGCACCAGAUGAUAGAGAGGAUUUUUUCCCAAACAUUGAAAAAAAAUGUAUUCUUGAAAAUUUUAGACAUAUCAUUACGUUGACAACGUUUUCAACUAAUAACUGAAUACGAUUUGAACUGAUGUUUAACAAAAACACAUUAAAAAAAAAUCCCAUAAAAAAAAAAAACUAUGUAAAAGGGGCAGAUAUCUAUAUAUUAUAUUAUUAUGUUUUCUUAGAACCCUGUUUGGGCAACUGUAUACGAUCCGAUGUUUUCGUAACUUAAAAAAACAUAACUUUAAAAAAUAUAUGAAAUUUCCACUAUUAAAAAUGUGUUUUUCCCGACAUUUAAUCACCUACUGUUUUCAAUUUUUUUUUUUUCAGUUUUCGGAGCAAAAUUCAAAAGCAAGUUGGAGCAAAACACCACAGCAUAAUUGAAUGUUCAUCCGCCAAUCAAUUUUGUCUAUUAUAAUAAUAAGUUACAAAUGUAUCUAAAUUUUUCCCUAAAAAAAAUGCAUGUUCUUCUGGCUUUAGUAAAGUGAGCAGAAUCAUGUUUAGGGAAAAAAAUAAAAACCGAUAUAUUAUUAUGAUGUGCGCCUACAUAAUAUUAACCUUAGAUAAUCAAUCGAGAUUAAUUUAAUUAAUACUACUAAUUUGAC